rnacentral:rRNA from 1 species
GGACCGUAUACAAGUCUCCUGGGAUGGAGCAUCAUAGAGGGUGAGAAUCCCGUCUUUGAUACGGACUACCAGUGCAUUGUGGUAUGCUCUCAACGAGUCGAGUUGUUUGGGAAUGCAGCUCAAAAUGGGUGGUAAAUUCCAUCUAAAGCUAAAUAUUGGCGAGAGACCGAUAGCGAACAAGUACCGUGAGGGAAAGAUGAAAAGAACUUUGGAAAGAGAGUUAAACAGUACGUGAAAUUGCUGAAAGGGAAACGCUUGAAGUCAGUCACGUCUGCUGGGAAUCAGCCUCGCUCCUGCGUGGUGUACUUUCUGGUAUGACGGGUCAGCAUCAGUUUUGACCACUGGAAAAAGGUGUGGGGAAUGUGACAGCUCCGGCUGUGUUAUAGCCUCAUAUUGUAUACAGUGGUUGGGACUGAGGAACGCAGCACGCCGAAAGGCCGGGUCUUUGACCACGUUCGUGCUUAGGAUGCUGGCAUAAUGGCUUUAAGCGACCCGUCUUGAAACACGGACCAAGGAGUCUAACAUGCCUGCGAGUGUUUGGGUGGAAAACUCGAGCGCGCAAUGAAAGUGAAAGUUGAGAUCCCUGUCGUGGGGAGCAUCGACGCCCGGACCAGAACUUUUGGGACGGAUCCGCGGUAGAGCAUGUAUGUUGGGACCCGAAAGAUGGUGAACUAUGCCUGAAUAGGGUGAAGCCAGAGGAAACUCUGGUGGAGGCUCGUAGCGGUUCUGACGUGCAAAUCGAUCGU